GACGUACCGUGCGAACGUUGUUCGGAAUCACUGGGCUUAAAGGGCGCGUAGGCGGGCUGCCAAGUCCGUGGUGAAAUCCCCCGGCUCAACCGGGGAAUGGCCUCGGAUACUGGCGGUCUCGAGGGAGGUAGGGGCGUGCGGAACUGUAGGUGGAGCGGUGAAAUGCGUUGAUAUCUACAGGAACUCCGGUGGCGAAGGCGGCACGCUGGACCUCUUCUGACGCUGAGGCGCGAAAGCCAGGGGAGCGAACGGG
rnacentral:rRNA from 1 species